rnacentral:rRNA from 1 species
GAUGAACGCUAGCGACAGGCCUAACACAUGCAAGUCGAGGGGCAGCAUGGUCUUAGCUUGCUAAGGCUGAUGGCGACCGGCGCACGGGUGAGUAACACGUAUCCAACCUGCCGUCUACUCUUGGCCAGCCUUCUGAAAGGAAGAUUAAUCCAGGAUGGGAUCAUGAGUUCACAUGUCCGCAUGAUUAAAGGUAUUUUCCGGUAGACGAUGGGGAUGCGUUCCAUUAGAUAGUAGGCGGGGUAACGGCCCACCUAGUCAACGAUGGAUAGGGGUUCUGAGAGGAAGGUCCCCCACAUUGGAACUGAGACACGGUCCAAACUCCUACGGGAGGCAGCAGUGAGGAAUAUUGGUCAAUGGGCGAUGGCCUGAACCAGCCAAGUAGCGUGAAGGAUGACUGCCCUAUGGGUUGUAAACUUCUUUUAUACGGGAAUAAAGUGAGGCACGUGUGCCUUUUUGUAUGUACCGUAUGAAUAAGGAUCGGCUAACUCCGUGCCAG